rnacentral:rRNA from 1 species
GAUUCUGGCUCAGGAUGAACGCUAGCGACAGGCUUAACACAUGCAAGUCGAGGGGCAGCAUAGAAGUAGCAAUACUUGGUGGCGACCGGCGCACGGGUGAGUAACGCGUAUGCAACCUACCUAUCAGAGGGGAAUAACCCGGCGAAAGUCGGACUAAUACCGCAUAAAACAGGGGCACCGCAUGGUGAUAUUUGUUAAAGAAAUUCGCUGAUAGAUGGGCAUGCGUUCCAUUAGGUAGUUGGUGAGGUAACGGCUCACCAAGCCGACGAUGGAUAGGGGAACUGAGAGGUUGGUCCCCCACACUGGUACUGAGACACGGACCAGACUCCUACGGGAGGCAGCAGUGAGGAAUAUUGGUCAAUGGGCGGGAGCCUGAACCAGCCAAGUCGCGUGAAGGAAAGAAGGAUCUAUGGUUCGUAAACUUCUUUUGCAGGGGAAUAAAGUGCAGGACGUGUCCUGUUUUGUAUGUACCCUGAGGAUAAGGAUCGGCUAACUCCGUGCCAGCAGCUGC